UACGGAGGGUGCAAGCGUUGUUCGGAUUUAUUGGGCGUAAAGCGCGUGUAGGCGGUCUUUUAAGUCUGAUGUGAAAGCCCUGGGCUCAACCCAGGAAGUGCAUUGGAUACUGGGAGACUUGAAUACGGGAGAGGGUAGUGGAAUUCCUAGUGUAGGAGUGAAAUCCGUAGAUAUUAGGAGGAACACCGGUGGCGAAGGCGGCUACCUGGACCGAUAUUGACGCUGAGACGCGAAAGCGUGGGGAGCAAACAGG
rnacentral:rRNA from 1 species